UUUCCAUACGUUCUGUGACUCUGGAGAACCCUGCCUGAUACACUGACUAGAUCUAAAACACAAGGGAGCAACACUAAGAAACCAGAAACAAGGAACAGUUAGAGGGAUCCUGUGUGUCGAGGGGUGACAACAAUCUACCUCCGGGACAGCUGUUACCGUUCUCUCUCCACACUGCAGCCUGGCGCUGAGCUCCCACUUAUCUCAAGGUUACUCCUGAGCGAAGAUGGCAGACGAGAAGCUGCCGCCCGGCUGGAAGAAGUAUAUGAGUCGCAGCUCAGGCCGGGUAUACUACUUCAAUCACAUCACCAACGCCAGCCAGUGGGAGCGGCCCAGCGAAGGCAGCAGCAAGAACGGCCAGGGUGAGCCUGCCAGGGUGCGCUGCUCACACCUGCUGGUGAAGCACAGCCAAUCUCGGAGGCCCUCAUCCUGGCGCCAGGAAAAGAUCACCAGGAGCAAGGAGGAGGCCCUGGAGCUCAUCAAUGGCUACAUCCGGAAGAUUAAGUCAGGAGAGGAGGACUUUCAGUCUCUGGCCUCACAGUUCAGUGACUGCAGCUCUGCCAAAGCCAGGGGAGACCUGGGUGCCUUCAGCAGAGGACAGAUGCAGAAACCGUUUGAGGAUGCAUCAUUUGCUCUACAGACUGGGGAGAUGAGUGGGCCCGUGUUCACGGAGUCUGGCAUCCAUAUCAUCCUGCGCACAGAAUGAGGGCAGGCACCUGGCCAGCCUGCUCCGGCUGCCACACAAGCCCAUGGACGCCGUUCCUGCUGCUGUCACACAGUAUUUAUUGUUCCUAAAGUGACUGGGAGGGGGACUGAGCAUCCCGUUCCUUGUUUGCCCCCAUUUGGGGGCUGUCCUAGCCAGGCUCCUGGGGGAAUUGACUUCAGAAGGGCAAUGGGGUUGGGGAGACCCCCAGGCUCAGGGGAUCAGAGGUGACCAGAUCCUCCAGGUCUCGAAGGCAGGCAGGAGGGCCUUUUUUCUUGUUAGUUAUAUGCUCCAUUCCUCUGUUCAGUUGCAAAAAGACACACAGCAACUCAGCCUCAAGGUGCAAUGCAGCCCACUAUACACCUUCCAUUAAAACUGGGACC